rnacentral:misc_RNA from 1 species
AAUUCUCAACCUUACUAGCUUUUGCUAGUCUGGCUUGGAUGUGGAGGUUUAUGCAGGCUUUUACAAGUCAGCUCCUCUGAAAUGCAUUAGCGGUACCCUAGUGGUUACAAAGCUAUUGGUGUGAUAACUAUCUACGCCAUUAGUAGUUCCACAACUGCUGCUGUCUAACCGUCUGCCUUGGUGGACAAUUGAUUGACAA